UUACACUCGAGGUAUUAGGAAUAGGUGAAGGUCCCCAUACAUCUGAAUGAAUAAGAUCAAAAGGUUUAGAAAUUUUAUUACCAUUGGAAAGAAAAGUUGUCCGAUGGUGUUUAGCAAACUGGAAAACAUCACAAUGAAAAGACUCAACAUACACUGCUGUAAAUAAAACAGGAAAUAAGUACUAAAUGGAGGAUGACCAAGACAUCUGUGUUGAAGCC
rnacentral:lncRNA from 1 species